UUAUAAAGCAGGUGUGUGAGGUCACAGAACCCCACAGAACCCUCCAGCAGAGGCACCGGGAGACGACAGCUGCCCCACGGAACACAAGCUACCGGUGGAGGAGGCAAGAGCAGCUCCUCCGGUGGUUCCCGUCUUGGUGUCUCGGAGCCGGUGCCGCCUGUGGACGCAGGAGCGUGGAAGGAGGUGGCCGUGACGCCCUGUUCCAUGGCCCACGUUGAGCUGUGACCCCUCGCAUGCUCCACCUCCGGACCAAAGGCACUGAGGAAGAGCAGCCCGUGAGGGACCUCCCCGAGCCGGCUGGGCAGAGGCUGGUCCCCCCGCAGCCACUCCCGGAGCACCCCUGGGUGCCCAGUGGCCAUGGGCACGAUGCUGCCGCCAUCCCAAAGCCGUGGCGGUCGCUCUGGAUUUGCCCAUUGUGACGGGGCCCCCACGGUGAGCGUGGGCUCUUU